GGGAGAGCCAUGACAACCUGAGCUGCAGCAAACACACAUGAACCCAGCCCAACACAAAUUUGGGGCUUUCAGGGCUGUUGCACCUCUGCCUCUCCAGAGCGCUCACCACCAACAGCGUUACCGAGGGUUUCAGUCAAGAGCUGAGCAAGAACCAGGGAAAAAAUGUGAAGCAGCCUCUUCCCAAGCCCUCAAAUUUAUGUCUGAGUUUAUUAAAGGAGAGACAAGCAGACAGCACUCACAGCUCAGCUGGCGCCUGGGGGAGCUCUGAAGCUUGAAGAGCCCUUUAACCUGCUGUUUUCACCCCGUGAAGAUGCUCAGAGAUCCUAGUGGAGUCACUCCUUAAUCUUCCUUCUGAUAAAUUAAUACUUGAAGAUGCUUUCAAACUC